CCGGGCUGGUGAACCGGGUGCGGUCGGCCUUCGGUACCGAGCUGGGCCUGCGCGCGGUGUUCGAGACACCGACCCCGGCC
rnacentral:tRNA from 1 species